CAGGAGGCCCACCUCAGCGGGAGGGAGUGAUUGAAGGAGAAUGGGAUGGACGAGGCCGGAUGGCGCGCAGAGAGAGCUGCAGGUGAGGCUUGUGAGGGAGGCCCGGCGGCAUGGCAGUAUUUUUAAUAAAGUGUGUGUGGUUGGGAUUCUCUGUACUGAGGCUCAGGUCUGGGGCCCCUGUUUCCACUGGGUAGUUUAUAGUAGGAUUCUCGGUGACAAAACAGAAACAUCCAUCGGCCAAUGGAAGCUGACGGGAGAACGGCAUCUUUGCCGAGGCUUCCCCCAAGAUUCCAAGUCACCCUUGGGCCCUAGAAAAAGCGGGCCACACCUGCCCACCUGCGCAAGGGAAGGCAAUGCAGCACAGGCCAGGUCAGGGCGCUGCCUGACUGGGGCAGCCUUGUG
rnacentral:lncRNA from 1 species